UAAGGGGGGGCAGCCAGGGCUGCAGGGGGGAGCCGUGUCGCUCCUGAGUUUAUGCCACCAAAUCUAAAAUCAGAGAACGCAGGAAGCCGCUUUCCGGACAGUCCCGGGAGCAAACUGACGUUUGGGCCGCCCGAGCGGGGCUCCACGGCGGCCAGCAGAGGCCGGGGGCCGGGGCGCGGGCACAGGACGAACCCGCCCUGGCAGCGGGCUUCAAGUCAGAGGCGGUGACUUCCGCGAACAACUCGGGGAGACCUGGGCGCCCCCGCGGGUCAGCGUGCACUCCCCGUGGGCAGCCCCGCUGUGCGGCCCCCAGGGGCGCCCCCCGAGCUCCGGGGGGGGGCGCACAGCCUCGACGGGGGCCGGGGCGCGUGCUGGGGUGCGCGGUGUGAGGUGUGCAGCGUGGGAUGAGCAGACGGGUGGGAGCCGGCGGCACCAGGGCCACGGGGCGGGACGUGGCACACUUCACGGGCCUCAGCGGGCUACCGUCCUCUCAGAGGAGGCUCCCCGGGGAACGUGCCCGAGGGCGCACGCUGACCGCUUCGGGGCUGCGUGGUAGUCGUCACAGGGUGUCCUGGGAGAGCUUGCGUGGGAAGCGAGCGCAGCAGGGACGACGUGGUUUUCAGCGCGAGGGAGCUGCACACAGGUGGCUGUCGGCACUGGGCCGCCUGGAGCCCGGCAGGCUGUUGUGCAGUGGGGGCGUAGGUUUAGGGGGCGGGUUUAAGCACGAGGCAUCCCGUGUGCAGGCCACUGGGCGCCGGCCCUCACUCAAGCACGCUGCGCUAUCAGCCUGCUUGGGUCCAGACUAAGGAGUAGGCGGUGCUCCCACAGACCAGGAACUCAGCCAAGCCACUUGUCACAUCUGACCUCACCUGCUCAAUCAGCAGCCACCUGGCCUGCAGAAAACUAUUAACCCUUCCUGGAAACAAAGCUCUCACCACUGCCUCAUUAGCCAGUCAUCAGCAGACAACAAGCCACAUGGACGCUGCGGGACGUUUUCUUUUCCGGAGCCAACCAGUGCGUCUGGGCCUCUGGCUCCUCCGGCUGCAGGGUCUCUGAGCAGCACUUCUGCACCAGGCUGUUAUGCUCUGGACGGGAUGGAGCUGGACCCCACCGGGCAGGUACACAUCGCGACAACUCCAACUGAGUAUCAUUAUAUGGAUUCCACCUAUUUACAUAAAUGGCUUUCAGAAACGUGUUCACGUAUCUCUUUUCCAACUGGUCUCAACAGCUUCCCCAAAGCUUUCUUGGGAUCUGGAGGUGAAGGCGGCCUGCAGAGAAGCCAGGGAGCAGGCACGGGGGUGCCUGCAGCUCCGACGCGACGGCUGUUGGUUUUCCCAGGCAAGUCUGUCUUGGAUCAAGGCGUGCUUACUCUUCCAGGGCACAAUCACAUUUGGACCAGACACUACCCCUCUGCACGGUCCCUGCUUGCUACCCUCUCAUUUCAAAGACAGCAGAGGAAGCCGGACUGCUCUGCACAGAUCACAAGGGAGCUCCUGCUAAUGACCGGCCCCAUGUAAGGAUUCACAGCAUUCCAGUCGGAGGCUCACUGGCUGAGGACACAGAUCUCAUCGCUCUUUGGGGACUUUUCUGUAUUAGGAAAAGCUUGGCUUCUGCUGAGCAAUGACUGGCUUUUGGAAGCUGAGAAUUCUGUUAACAACAUUGCUUCUUCCCCUUUCUGCUUUGGUUACCAGAAGCCUUGGUGCCAAACUAGCUCUUGACAGACCUUCUG